rnacentral:rRNA from 1 species
ACGGAAGGCAGCAGUGGGGAAUAUUGGACAAUGGGGGAAACCCUGAUCCAGCGACGCCGCGUGAGUGAAGAAGUAUUUCGGUAUGUAAAGCUCUAUCAGCAGGGAAGAUAAUGACGGUACCUGACUAAGAAGCCCCGGCUAACUACGUGCCAGCAGCCGCGGUAAUACGUAGGGGGCAAGCGUUAUCCGGAUUUACUGGGUGUAAAGGGUGCGUAGGUGGUAUGGCAAGUCAGAAGUGAAAACCCGGGGCUCAACCCCGUGGAUUGCUUUUGAAACUGUCAAACUAGAGUACAGGAGAGGCAAGUGGAAUUCCUAGUGUAGCGGUGAAAUGCGUAGAUAUUAGGAGGAACACCAGUGGCGAAGGCGGCUUGCUGGACUGCUACUGACACUGAGGCACGAAAGCGUGGGGAGCAAACAGGAUUAGAUACCCUGGUA